rnacentral:ncRNA from 2 species
AUUUUGUCAUUGCUCCAAAGCUGGUUUACCUAAAGCAGAAGCUAUGGUGACCAGACAAGUGCUUAAAGGCACUCGGGUAUUAUGGGAAACUGUAAUAUCUCCUGCUGGAAAGGAGUCUGUCGACAGGUGGA